UCCCUGGUAGUAUAUCGGCUAGUACACGCGCCUGUCACCGCAAGUGUACGGUCGCGCGAAAGCGGGGUUCGACUCCCCGCCAGGGAG